AGCGAACGCUGGCGGCAGGCUUAACACAUGCGAGUCGAGCGGGCAUCCUUGUGGUGUCAGCGGCAGACGGGUGAGUAACGCGUGGGAACGUGCCCUUCGGUUCGGAAUACCCAGGGAAAACUGGGGUUAAAACGGAUUCGGUGCAGAGCCAGAAAGUUUAAUCUGCCGAAGGAUCGGCCCGCGUCUGAUUAGCUAGUUGGUGAGGUUAUGGCUCACCAAGGCGACGAUCAGUAGCUGGUCUGAGAGGAUGAUCAGCCACACUGGGACUGAGACACGGCCCAGACUCCUACGGGAGGCAGCAGUGGGGAAUAUUGGACAAUGGGGGCAACCCUGAUCCAGCCAUGCCGCGUGAGUGAUGACGGCCUUAGGGUUGUAAAGCUCUUUUCUCCGGGACGAUAAUGACGGUACCGGAGGAAUAAGCCCCGGCUAACUUCGUG
rnacentral:rRNA from 1 species